UACGUAGGACCCAAGCGUUAUCCGGAUUGACUGGGCGUAAAGAGUUGCGUAGGUGGUUUGUUAAGCGAAUAGUGAAAUCUUGUGGCUCAACCAUAAGGCUAUUAUUCGAACUGGCAAACUCGAGAAUGGAAGAGGUAUCUGGAAUUUCUCAUGUAGGGGUAAUAUCCGUAGAUAUGAGAAGGAACACCAAUGGCGUAGGCAGGAUACUGGUCCAUUUCUGACACUAAGGCACGAAAGCGUGGGGAGCGAACAGG
rnacentral:rRNA from 1 species